GCGGCCGUGGCCAGGUUCAGGCUCUCGGCCUUUCCGUGGAUGGGGACGCGGACGACGGCGUCGGCGAGGGCGCGGGUCUCCUCCGGCAGCCCC
rnacentral:tRNA from 1 species